rnacentral:rRNA from 1 species
UACGAAGGGGGCUAGCGUUGCUCGGAAUUACUGGGCGUAAAGGACGCGUAGGCGGUUCUAUAAGUCAGGCGUGAAAUUCCUGGGCUUAACCUGGGGGCUGCGCUUGAGACUGUGGAACUCGAGGUCAGAAGAGGGUCGUGGAAUUCCCAGUGUAGAGGUGAAAUUCGUAGAUAUUGGGAAGAACACCGGUGGCGAAGGCGGCGACCUGGUCUGAUACUGACGCUGAGGCGCGACAGCGUGGGGAGCAAACAGG